AAAAUUUCUGUGCUUUGCCUUUGGCUUUUUUGUAUUGAAAAUUUGACAAUUUAAUAAUUGCACUCGUUGACAUACUUCAAAAGUCGGGGGCUUAACUCGAGCAACAACUUUUUUGUCAAACUUCGAGUUAAGCCCCGGGGCUUAACUCCAAUGACCCAAAUCAUGUUUCGUUCUUCGAGUUAAGCCCUUUUGGAAAAAGGGCGUGGUCAUGGCAAAACAGGGCGUGGCCGGGGCUUAACUCGAAAAGGGCUUAACUCGAGGGGCUUAACUCGAAGGGCUUAACUCGAAGAUUCCCGACCUCUACUGUGUGUCCCUAAUUGACUUGUGUGGCCGCCGGCUUUUGCCUGGUGGUUCCCGAAGUAGUUGUGCCAUUGUAUAGGAAUUGGUCAAUUUUACUGGAAAAUUUGAAACAAUUCCAUACUGUGGAAAUUCUACGGAAAUGAUAUGGAAAGAGUUAGAAAUUCAAUUUCCAAUCUUUUGCACACUAACAUGGUAUGGAAAUUUUUUUUGAAUAUGCGUGGGAAAUUUGUAGAAAACCUAAAUCUAUCCAAACCAUGGAAACUUUUCAAAUUUUACACACGCACAAAUAAGUCGUGACAACGAAAACUUGUCAAAGAAAACUAAGCUUUUUUGGUACACCGCAAACCUGAAACGGUUUGUGAUGGGCUUAUACAUGGGGUAGCUUAUACAUGGGGUAGCUUGAUAAACAAGUGGGGUUAUAUUUGGGUGGGCUUAUAUUUAGGUGGGCUUAUAUUUGAGUGAGCUUAUAUUCGGGGGGCUUAUAUUUGGAUUGGUGUGAACGUUAGUGUGACGGGCUUAUAGACGGGGCGGGGCGCUUAUUUUCGGGGGGACUUAUAAUCGGAGGUUUACAGCAUAUUUGUAUGUAGCUUCGUUUUUCUGAUAUUUAGACAAGUGUUCCGAAUCCUUACAGUUGCAUAGUAUAAUAAAAUAUAAUCAUUACAUGUAUUUUAAAAUCGAUAAUUAUACAUUAUUUACAUCAUAGCAUAGUUUUCCUUUGUUGUACAGUAUUUUCGCUAUUAAAUUUUGUGGGUUAUUAAUUGAUUGAUUUACCUGUUUUAUCAGUAAUAUAUAGUACCUUAGUCCUUACUGUCA